UAAGGAAUAUUGGUCAAUGGAGGCAACUCUGAACCAGCCAUGCCGCGUGCAGGAAGACAGCCCUAUGGGUCGUAAACUGCUUUUAUACGGGAACAAACCUUUCUUCGUGAAGAAAGCUGAGCGUACCGUAAGAAUAAGGAUCGGCUAACUCCGUGCCAGCAGCCGCGGUAAUACGGAGGAUCCAAGCGUUAUCCGGAUUUAUUGGGUUUAAAGGGAGCGUAGGCGGCCCGUUAAGUCAGGGGUGAAAGACGGUGGCUCAACCAUCGCAGUGCCUUUGAUACUGACGGGCUUGAAUACACCUGAGGUAGGCGGAAUGUGACAAGUAGCGGUGAAAUGCAUAGAUAUGUCACAGAACACCGAUUGCGAAGGCAGCUUACUAAAGUGUAAUUGACGCUGAGGCUCGAAAGCGUGGGGAUCAAACA
rnacentral:rRNA from 1 species